CCGGGCUUUGUAUAGUCUAAGUCCAUGACAAAUUGGAGAGCAAAUGACAGUCAGCCUUUCUGAUCUUCAUGAAUAUAAACCAAUACAUCUGCGGCUGGAGUCAGGCUCAGCAGUGGGAUGGUGUGACCUCAAGGGCUCCAGGCUGCAUGUCCCUUUCAUGGGGGACAUUCUUGUGCUUUGGACUCUCCAGAACCACAAGAGGAGCCAGGUGUCUUCCUGAAUCGGCUUCACAACGGUGUCCCUCAGUCCCUCACUGUGGCCAAGGCCUUUUCCACGUGAAGACAC